rnacentral:rRNA from 1 species
AUUGAACGCUGGCGGCAUGCUUUACACAUGCAAGUCGAACGGUAACAGGUUAAGCUGACGAGUGGCGAACGGGUGAGUAAUGCAUCGGAACGUGCCCGAUAGUGGGGGAUAACGCAGCGAAAGCUGCGCUAAUACCGCAUACGAUCUGAGGAUGAAAGCGGGGGACCGUAAGGCCUCGCGCGAUCGGAGCGGCCGAUGUCAGGUUAGGUAGUUGGUGGGGUAAGGGCUCACCAAGCCAACGAUCUGUAGCUGGUCUGAGAGGACGACCAGCCACACUGGGACUGAGACACGGCCCAGACUCCUACGGGAGGCAGCAGUGGGGAAUUUUGGACAAUGGGCGAAAGCCUGAUCCAGCAAUGCCGCGUGCAGGAAGAAGGCCUUCGGGUUGUAAACUGCUGUUGUACGGAGCGAAAAGGCUCUCUCUAAUACAGGGGGCUCAUGACGGUACCGUAAGAAUAAGCACCGGCUAACUACGUGCCAGCAGCCGCCGUAA